rnacentral:misc_RNA from 1 species
UAUAACAGAAUUGUUGUGAUUUUGAACUUGGGCCACCCAAGACUCAACAUAGUAUUUCCAUUUGAAGUUAUUAUGUCUUGGGUUGGGACUUAACAUGAUUCUUUUUACUUCUACCACCAUAUCCACAUAUCAAGUCUGCACUUCCCUACAGAAAAAAUUAUGAAAUAAAAAUAAGAAAACAAAAUUGGGAUCAGUCUGCUUCUCUCAACUUCAUUACUGAAACAAAUUGAUGUUCCAGCCAAUGUCCAAACCAUUGUGAGAAAUGGUUGAAAAGGAAGUGUAGCAGACAAGACAUGUCAAUCAAUUAACAUAACAUGUCAAUUCUAACCACAAAACCAUUAUAUCUACUUUCCACCAACAUAACAGCGGUGACAGGCUCAUACAUUAUCAUAUCACCAUGCAGUCACCCAAACCAUAAAAAAGUUGUAGCAUUAAACAUUUUCUACUGAAAAAACACUUCCUUAAUCAUAGAACAAUGCUUUUUCCUGACACGCCUAAGCAUGACGCAGUCAACGACUCAACUGAAUAAAUAUUGUAUAGCUCACCAAGCAAUUAAAAAACAAAUUUUACCACUAUAUUUAAUUGUUUACAUUUACUUGCAUCUCUUCCAAAAUAUUCUGCAAGAAGCCCGCCAAAACAUUUUUAAAAAUGCGGAACAACAGGAGAAGAAGCAUGUUAAACUAAUUAUAUAACUUCCCAACUAACACGUCACGUCAGGUUGCAGCAAGUCCUUAUCACCAGGAAACUAAACCAUGGUGAGAACAAAGCAAAAUAAAAAAUAGAAGUAAAAUGAAUUAAGAGAAACUAUAGAAACUCCGCUUCAACUUUUAAUUCCCCUAGUCCUGCCCACAAAAUGAUCUCUAUUCCAGCGUUCAGAGAACACACAUAUUAAAGAAACCUUAAAAGAAAAAAAACAACACAAGAGUAAUAAGACCAGAGAAAAAAGGAUAAACACCAAAGGGAAAAACCAAAAUCACCAAAAAGCAAACCCAAUAAAGCAUAGCAACAACAAUUCAGAACUAGAUUACAAUCAGAAGCAAGAGGUUAACCUGUGGAUGCUCUGCAUUAAAUGG